rnacentral:rRNA from 1 species
GGGUCCGAGUUGUAAUUUGUAGAGGAUGAUUUUGGCGAGGCGCCUUCCGAGUUCCCUGGAACGGGACGCCAUAGAGGGUGAGAGCCCCGUCUGGUUGGAUGCCGAGCCUCUGUAAAUCUCCUUCGACGAGUCGAGUAGUUUGGGAAUGCUGCUCUAAAUGGGAGGUAUAUGUCUUCUAAAGCUAAAUAUUGGCCAGAGACCGAUAGCGCACAAGUAGAGUGAUCGAAAGAUGAAAAGCACUUUGAAAAGAGGGUUAAAUAGUACGUGAAAUUGUUGAAAGGGAAGCGUUUGUGACCAGACUUGGGCCCGGUUAAUCAUCCAGCGUUCUCGCUGGUGCACUUUGCCGGCCCAGGCCAGCAUCAGUUCUCGCCGGGGGAUAAAGGUUUCGGGAAUGUGGCU